GACGAACGCUGGCGGCGUGCUUAACACAUGCAAGUCGAGCGGAAAGGCCCUUCGGGGUACUCGAGCGGCGAACGGGUGAGUAACACGUGAGUAAUCUGCCCUUGGCUUUGGGAUAACUACCGGAAACGGUGGCUAAUACCGGAUACGACAACCGUCUGCAUGGGCUGGUUGUGGAAAGUUUUUUCGGCCAGGGGUGUGCUCGCGGCCUAUCAGCUUGUUGGGGGGGUAAUGGCCUACCAAGGCUUCGACGGGUAGCCGGCCUGAGAGGGUGACCGGCCACACUGGGACUGAGACACGGCCCAGACUCAUACGGGAGGAAGAAGGGGGGAAUAUUGGAAGAUGGGCGGAAGCCUGAUCCAGCAACGCCGCGUGAGGGAUGACGGCAUUCGGGUUGUAAACCUCUUUCAGUACCGACGAAGCGCCGAUGAUGGUGGUGACGGUAGGUACAGAAGAAGCACCGGCCAACUACGUG
rnacentral:rRNA from 1 species